rnacentral:rRNA from 1 species
UAGGGAAUCUUCGGCAAUGGGGGGAACCCUGACCGAGCAACGCCGCGUGAGUGAAGAAGGUUUUCGGAUCGUAAAGCUCUGUUGUUAAGGAAGAACGAGUGUGAGAAUGGAAAGUUCAUGCUGUGACGGUACUUAACCAGAAAGGGACGGCUAACUACGUGCCAGCAGCCGCGGUAAUACGUAGGUCCCGAGCGUUGUCCGGAUUUAUUGGGCGGAAAGCGAGCGCAGGCGGUUAGAAAAGUCUGAAGUGAAAGGCAGUGGCUCAACCAUUGUAGGCUUUGGAAACUGUUUAACUUGAGUGCAGAAGGGGAGAGUGGAAUUCCAUGUGUAGCGGUGAAAUGCGUAGAUAUAUGGAGGAACACCGGUGGCGAAAGCGGCUCUCUGGUCUGUAACUGACGCUGAGGCUCGAAAGCGUGGGGAGCGAACAGG